rnacentral:tRNA from 1 species
GUCUCUGUGGUGUAAUGGGUCAGCACAUUCCGCUGUUAACAGAAAGGUUGGUGGUUUGAGCCCACCCAGGGGCA